rnacentral:rRNA from 1 species
UUUAAAGUCUAAUCUGCCCGUUGAAAGUUUAACGGCCGCAGUAUUUUAACUGUGCAAAGGUAGCAUAAUCAAUAGUUUUUUAAUUGAAAGCUAGAAUGAAUGAUUGAACGAAAAAUUUACUGUUUCAAUUUUAAAUAAUUAAAAUUUAAUUUUUAAGUAAAAAAGCUUAAAUAAAAUUAAAAGACGAGAAGACCCUAUAGAGUUUAAUAAUUUUAUUUAUUUAUUAUUUUUAGUUUAAGUUUUAAUAGAUUAUUAUAUUAUUUAAUUGGGGUGAUUUUAAAAUUUAAUAAACUUUUAAUUUAUUAAAACAAUAAUUAUUGAUUUAUUGAUCUUAUGUUUUAGAUUAUAAGAUUAAAUUACCUUAGGGAUAACAGCGUAAUUUUUUUGGAGAGUUCUUAUUGAUAAAAAAGAUUGCGACCUCGAUGUUGGAUUAAGAUAAAAUUUUAGUGCAAAAAUUAAAAAAUUUAAGUCUGUUCGACUUUUAAAAUCUUACAUGAUC